AAUCUGCCUUCGAGCCCGGGAUAACGUCGCGAAAGCGAUGCUAAUACCGGAUAAUAUCCAAAGUGCCCCGGUACUUUGGAUCAAAGGGGGCCUCUACAUGUAAGCUUCCUUUCGAAGAUGAGCCCGCGGGCCAUUAGCUAGUUGGUAGGGUAAAAGCCUACCAAGGCGACAAUGGCUAGCUGGUCUGAGAGGAUGAUCAGCCACACUGGAACUGAGACACGGUCCAG
rnacentral:rRNA from 1 species